AGCCAAACUCUAGCCCAACCACGCGCAGCCAAGUAAUUAAAAAUCUACUUCACCAUACGAAUUAAACUAAAACAUUCUUCUGCCCCAGUAUGGGCGACAGAAAAGGCACUACUGGCGCUAUAGAGAUCUGUACCGUAAGGGAAAGAUGAAAUAGUAAUGAAAACCCGAGCAAAAAACAGCAAAGAUAAACCCUUGUACCUCUUGCAUCAUGAUUUAGCAAGAACAACCAAGCAAAACGAGUUUAAGCUUGCCACCCCGAAACCCGAGCGAGCUACUCACAAGCAGCUACCCCCUGAGCGAACCCGUCUCUGUUGCAAAAGAGUGGGAUGACUUGUUAGUAGAGGUGAAAAGCCUACCGAGCCGGGUGAUAGCUGGUUGCCCGUGAAAUGAAUCUAAGUUCUCUCUUAAUUUUCUCUUUUUUCCCCCCCGGACAUCCAACCGCAACCACCAUGUGACAAAUCAAGAGCAAUUUAAAGGAGGUACAGCUCCUUUAAAAAAGAAUACAAUCUCCCCUAGCGGAUAACUGCCCAACUGACCCUAAACUGUGGGCCCUCAAGCAGCCAUCAACAAAGAAUGCGUCAAAGCUCUACCCCAAAAAAAUCCAAAAACAACAGGACUCCCUUAUCUAUAGCGGGCCAACCUAUAAUAAUAGGAGAAUCAAUGCUAAAAUGAGUAAUCGGGGGCCACCCUCUCGAGCGCAAACUUACAUCACCACAUUGUUAACAAGCCCUAAACUAAUAUCCCACCCUCAAACAAGCUAAGUAUUAAACUUACCCUGUUAGUCCAACUCAGGAGCGCCCAAUUAGAAAGAUUCAAAUCUGCAAAAGGAACUAGGCAACCCUAAGGCCCGACUGUUUACCAAAAACAUAGCCUUCAGCCAACCAAGUAUUGAAGGUGAUGCCUGCCCAGUGACACUCCGUUCAACGGCCGCGGUAUCCUAACCGUGCGAAGGUAGCGCAAUCAAUUGUCCCAUAAAUCGAGACUUGUAUGAAUGGCUAAACGAGGUCUUAACUGUCUCUUGCAGACAAUCAAUGAAAUUGAUCUUCCUGUGCAAAAGCAGGAAUAAACCCAUAAGACGAGAAGACCCUGUGGAACUUAAAAAUCAGCGGCCACCACACACAACCCAAAACCUACCAGGCCUACGACCCCAAGUAAAACACUGGCCCGCAUUUUUCGGUUGGGGCGACCUUGGAGAAAAGUAAAUCCUCCAAAAACAAGACCACACACCUUGACCAAGAGCAACCCCUCAACGUACUAACAGUAACCAGACCCAAUAUAAUUGACCAAUGGACCAAGCUACCCCAGGGAUAACAGCGCAAUCCCCUCCAAGAGCCCAUAUCGACAAGGGGGUUUACGACCUCGAUGUUGGAUCAGGACACCCUAAUGGUGCAGCCGCUAUUAAGGGUUCGUUUGUUCAACGAUUAACAGUCCUACGUGAUCUGAGUUCAGACCGGAGCAAUCCAGGUCGGUUUCUAUCUAUGCCGGGCUUUUCCUAGUACGAAAGGACCGGAAAAGCAAGGCCCAUACUAUAGGCAUGCCUUCCCUCUAAGUAGUGAACCCAACUAAACUACCAAACAGGACACACCAUUUCACCAUCCUAGAAAAGGAUC
rnacentral:rRNA from 1 species